GGUUAAGCGACUAAGCGUACACGGUGGAUGCCCUGGCAGUCAGAGGCGAUGAAGGACGUGCUAAUCUGCGAAAAGCGUCGGUAAGGUGAUAUGAACCGUUAUAACCGGCGAUGUCCGAAUGGGGAAACCCAGUGCAAUUCGUUGCACUAUCGUUAACUGAAUACAUAGGUUAACGAGGCGAACCGGGGGAACUGAAACAUCUAAGUACCCCGAGGAAAAGAAAUCAACCGAGAUUCCCCCAGUAGCGGCGAGCGAACGGGGAGCAGCCCAGAGUCUGAAUCAGCUUGUGUGUUAGUGGAACGGUCUGGAAAGUCCGACGGUACAGGGUGAUAGUCCCGUACACCAAAAUGCACAGGUUGUGAACUCGAAGAGUAGGGCGGGACACGUGGUAUCCUGUCUGAAUAUGGGGGGACCAUCCUCCAAGGCUAAAUACUCCUGACUGACCGAUAGUGAACCAGUACCGUGAGGGAAAGGCGAAAAGAACCCCGGCGAGGGGAGUGAAAAAGAACCUGAAACCGUGUACGUACAAGCAGUGGGAGCACCUUCGGGUGUGACUGCGUACCUUUUGUAUAAUGGGUCAGCGACUUAUAUUCUGUAGCAAGGUUAACCGUAUAGGGGAGCCGCAGGGAAACCGAGUCUUAACUGGGCGUUAAGUUGCAGGGUAUAGACCCGAAACCCGGUGAUCUAGCCAUGGGCAGGUUGAAGGUUGGGUAACACUAACUGGAGGACCGAACCGACUAAUGUUGAAAAAUUAGCGGAUGACUUGUGGCUGGGGGUGAAAGGCCAAUCAAACCGGGAGAUAGCUGGUUCUCCCCGAAAGCUAUUUAGGUAGCGCCUCGUGAACUCAUCUUCGGGGGUAGAGCACUGUUUCGGCUAGGGGGUCAUCCCGACUUACCAACCCGAUGCAAACUACGAAUACCGAAGAAUGUUAUCACGGGAGACACACGGCGGGUGCUAACGUCCGUCGUGAAGAGGGAAACAACCCAGACCGCCAGCUAAGGUCCCAAAGUCAUGGUUAAGUGGGAAACGAUGUGGGAAGGCACAGACAGCCAGGAUGUUGGCUUAGAAGCAGCCAUCAUUUAAAGAAAGCGUAAUAGCUCACUGGUCGAGUCGGCCUGCGCGGAAGAUGUAACGGGGCUAAACCAUGCACCGAAGCUGCGGCAGCGACACUAUGUGUUGUUGGGUAGGGGAGCGUUCUGUAAGCCUGCGAAGGUGUGCUGUGAGGCAUGCUGGAGGUAUCAGAAGUGCGAAUGCUGACAUAAGUAACGAUAAAGCGGGUGAAAAGCCCGCUCGCCGGAAGACCAAGGGUUCCUGUCCAACGUUAAUCGGGGCAGGGUGAGUCGACCCCUAAGGCGAGGCCGAAAGGCGUAGUCGAUGGGAAACAGGUUAAUAUUCCUGUACUUGGUGUUACUGCGAAGGGGGGACGGAGAAGGCUAUGUUAGCCGGGCGACGGUUGUCCCGGUUUAAGCAUGUAGGCUGGUUAUCCAGGCAAAUCCGGAUAAUCAAGGCUGAGGUGUGAUGACGAGGCACUACGGUGCUGAAGUAACAAAUGCCCUGCUUCCGGGAAAAGCCUCUAAGCAUCAGGUAACAUCAAAUCGUACCCCAAACCGACACAGGUGGUCAGGUAGAGAAUACCAAGGCGCUUGAGAGAACUCGGGUGAAGGAACUAGGCAAAAUGGUGCCGUAACUUCGGGAGAAGGCACGCUGGUGUGUAGGUGAAGUCCCUGCGGAUGGAGCUGAGACCAGUCGAAGAUACCAGCUGGCUGCAACUGUUUAUUAAAAACACAGCACUGUGCAAACACGAAAGUGGACGUAUACGGUGUGACGCCUGCCCGGUGCCGGAAGGUUAAUUGAUGGGGUUAUCCGUAAGGAGAAGCUCUUGAUCGAAGCCCCGGUAAACGGCGGCCGUAACUAUAACGGUCCUAAGGUAGCGAAAUUCCUUGUCGGGUAAGUUCCGACCUGCACGAAUGGCGUAAUGAUGGCCAGGCUGUCUCCACCCGAGACUCAGUGAAAUUGAACUCGCUGUGAAGAUGCAGUGUACCCGCGGCAAGACGGAAAGACCCCGUGAACCUUUACUAUAGCUUGACACUGAACAUUGAGCCUUGAUGUGUAGGAUAGGUGGGAGGCUUUGAAGCGUGGACGCCAGUCUGCGUGGAGCCAACCUUGAAAUACCACCCUUUAAUGUUUGAUGUUCUAACGUUGGCCCCUGACCGGGGUUGCGGACAGUGUCUGGUGGGUAGUUUGACUGGGGCGGUCUCCUCCCAAAGCGUAACGGAGGAGCACGAAGGUUAGCUAAUCCUGGUCGGACAUCAGGAGGUUAGUGCAAUGGCAUAAGCUAGCUUGACUGCGAGCGUGACGGCGCGAGCAGGUGCGAAAGCAGGUCAUAGUGAUCCGGUGGUUCUGAAUGGAAGGGCCAUCGCUCAACGGAUAAAAGGUACUCCGGGGAUAACAGGCUGAUACCGCCCAAGAGUUCAUAUCGACGGCGGUGUUUGGCACCUCGAUGUCGGCUCAUCACAUCCUGGGGCUGAAGUAGGUCCCAAGGGUAUGGCUGUUCGCCAUUUAAAGUGGUACGCGAGCUGGGUUUAGAACGUCGUGAGACAGUUCGGUCCCUAUCUGCCGUGGGCGCUGGAGAAUUGAGGGGGGCUGCUCCUAGUACGAGAGGACCGGAGUGGACGCAUCACUGGUGUUCGGGUUGUCAUGCCAAUGGCACUGCCCGGUAGCUAAAUGCGGAAGAGAUAAGUGCUGAAAGCAUCUAAGCACGAAACUUGCCCCGAGAUGAGUUCUCCCUGAGACUAUAAGUCUCCUGAAGGAACGUUAAAGACGAUGACGUUGAUAGGCCGGGUGUGUAAGCGCAGCGAUGCGUUGAGCUAACCGGUACUAAUGAACCGUGAGGCUUAACCUU
rnacentral:rRNA from 1 species